rnacentral:lncRNA from 1 species
AUCUGCUUCCUGUUCAAUUCCAGCAUGAAAGAAAAAUACAGGGAUUUUCCUGAAGGCAUGUGGCACCUAAAGCAGAGAGGAGGCUGAGAAAGGAGACCUGAAGAGCCUACAGCCUACAAGAACAGCAGUGCUGUCACAAGGCUGAGCACACUCUCAGCAGGGAGCACAGAAAGCAGCUGCCUGUCUCUGCAUGACGAGCCCUGACACAUGCAUCGAUGCACACCACCCUGAGAACUCCUGCUCUGGGGAAAUCCUUAAUCGCCAAGAAUCAAGGAACCAACCAUUAGUGCGAUAGAAAGAGAAGAACAACUAUGAAGGAAAGAAUGUAUUAAGACAUGGAGAGUUAAAAACAUAACACAACAAACGCCUAGAAGCUGACAUCACUAAUGAUUUGAAACAAUAAAAAUAAGAGAAGGAAUCCACUUGGGCUGGCUCGUAAAUGUUCUGAAAAAUUCCUUCCACUUUGCAUUGUACUUUUCCUCCUAACUAGGUCUGAAAUGGCCAAGUACCAUGAAAAUUAUUUAAACUGAAACAUAAAUCAGUUAAUAAGGAGAAUAAAGAUUAAAAGCUCUC